UAAUGUUAUAGCUUAUAAAAAGCAUUACCUUGAAGAGGUAAGUAAAAGAAACUUUCUUUGACAUGAA
rnacentral:tRNA from 1 species